rnacentral:rRNA from 1 species
UACGUAGGGGGCUAGCGUUGUCCGGAAUCAUUGGGCGUAAAGAGCGCGUAGGCGGCCAGAUAAGUCCGGUGUGAAAGUCACAGGCUCAACCUGUGAAUGCCGCUGGAAACUGUCUGGCUAGAGUCCGGGAGGGGCGAGUGGAAUUCCUGGUGUAGCGGUGAAAUGCGCAGAUAUCAGGAGGAACACCAAUGGCGAAGGCAGCUCGCUGGACCGGUACUGACGCUGAGGCGCGAAAGCGUGGGGAGCAAACGGG